rnacentral:rRNA from 1 species
AGUCUCCUACGGGGGGCAGCAGUGGGGAAUAUUGCACAAUGGGGGGAACCCUGAUGCAGUAAUGCCGCGUGGGUGAAGAAGCACUCCGGUGCGUAAAGCCCUGUCAGCAGGGAAGAAAAUGACAGUACCUGACCAAGAAGCCCCGGCUAACUACGUGCCAGCAGCCGCGGUAAUACGUAGGGGGCAAGCGUUAUCCGGAUUUACUGGGUGUAAAGGGAGCGCAGGCGGUAUGGCAAGUCAGAUGUGAAAACCCAGGGCCCAACCCUGGUACUGUAUUUGAAACUGCCAUACUGGAGAGUCGGAGG